rnacentral:rRNA from 1 species
UGGGGAAUAUUGGACAAUGGGCGCAAGCCUGAUCCAGCCAUGCCGCGUGCAGGAAGAAGGCGUUAUGCGUUGUAAACUGCUUUUUGCCAGGGGAUAAAAAGACCGUGCGCGGUUAAUUGAAGGUACCUGGUGAAUAAGCCACGGCUAACUACGUGCCAGCAGCCGCGGUAAUACGUAGGUGGCAAGCGUUGUCCGGAUUUAUUGGGUUUAAAGGGUGCGUAGGUGGCCCUGUAAGUCAGUGGUGAAAUAUCUCAGCUUAACUGAGAGGGUGCCAUUGAUACUGCAGGGCUUGAGUACAGAUGAGGUAGGCGGAAUUGACGGUGUAGCGGUGAAAUGCAUAGAUAUCGUCAAGAACACCGAUAGCGAAGGCAGCUUACCAAGCUGUAACUGACACUGAGGCACGAAAGUGUGGGGAUCAAACAGGAUUAGAUACCCCCGUAGUCCCUGAGCGGGCUGGCAAGGCGCAU